rnacentral:lncRNA from 1 species
AAACAAGCCCGUUUGUUCAGGAGUCUACAAGAUUCAUUGUCUGUUCCUUGAUGUGACUGGGUCAUCGGAAGACUCUGAGUCAUCGUGGGUCCUCUGCUCCCUCUCUCACCUGGAUCAGGUGCUAAGACCCCAUUAGCCAACUCUAAACUGUAAGAUCUACCAGCAACGACAACAACAAAAACAACAACAACAACAACAACAACAAACCCAAAAGCCUGGAAGUGAAGCAUCACAAAAAAACAUUCUAAAGCUUUGUCUUUGUUUAAGGGAGACAUGGAAGAAGAUAAUGGCAGGCAAACUGGCACAUAAGGAAAGGAAGAAAGUCGUCUUUCCGAGCAUCAGCUUCCUUCUGUAUCCCACAGCCGUGUGGACUUUGAUUAACACACAAAGUGCAAAUUUCCAAUUAUAGAUAUCAUUUAGCCACCAUGGCACCAUGAGGGGAAAGAAAAAAAAAAAAAACAUAGUGAAAAUCGAAUCAAAGGCAGUACAUGAAUCAUCAACUCGGAACUCAGACCUCAAAGAUGUCCUGGGCGACCUCAGUAAGUCCGGUGGAUUCUCUGUCGGGUUAGAAAUAUUAACAUGAAUCUCACGGAUCCUGGCAUCACCUGGAAAAGCACGUGUUGCUUUUCAACAACACACUACGAGAACUUCCACAAGCACUUAAUCUUCGGGGCUCUUUAGUUAUUUUCCGAAAUAAAGAGAGGGA